rnacentral:rRNA from 1 species
AUUCGCCCGCCGCGCGCGGCGGGCGGGGCGGGGGCACGGGGGGCCUACGGGAGGCAGCAGUGAGGAAUAUUGGUCAAUGGGCGCGAGCCUGAACCAGCCAAGCAGCGUGAAGGACGACUGCCCUAUGGGUUGUAAACUUCUUUUGUCAGGGAAUAAAGUGUGCCACGUGUGGCAUUUUGUAUGUACCUUACGAAUAAGCAUCGGCUAAUUCCGUGCCAGCAGCCGCGGUA